rnacentral:snoRNA from 1 species
UGCAAAUGAUGAAUUUAUGUUGCCCCGAGAUCCAAUCGUGUGGGUCAAAUGAGCUUUUUAACUCUGAUGCUU